CCUACGGGCGGCAGCAGUGGGGAAUAUUGGACAAUGGGCGAAAGCCUGAUCCAGCCAUGCCGCGUGUGUGAAGAAGGCCUUCGGGUUGUAAAGCACUUUCAGUGGGGAAGAAAGCCUUGGGGCUAAUACCCUCGAGGAAGGACAUCACCCACAGAAGAAGCACCGGCUAACUCCGUGCCAGCAGCCGCGGUAAUACGGAGGGUGCGAGCGUUAAUCGGAAUUACUGGGCGUAAAGCGCGCGUAGGCGGUCUGAUAAGCCGGUUGUGAAAGCCCCGGGCUCAACCUGGGAACGGCAUCCGGAACUGUCAGGCUAGAGUGCAGGAGAGGAAGGUAGAAUUCCCGGGGUAGCGGUGAAAUGCGUAGAGAUCGGGAGGAAUACCAGUGGCGAAGGCGGCCUUCUGGACUGACACUGACGCUGAGGUGCGAAAGCGUGGGUAGCAAACAGGAUUAAUACCCUAGUAGUC
rnacentral:rRNA from 1 species